rnacentral:rRNA from 1 species
AUACGAAAGGUGCAAGCGUUGUUCGGAUUUACUGGGCGUAAAGAGAUCGUAGGUGGUUUGUUAAGUCGGAUGUGAAAUCCCGGGGCUCAACCUCGGAACUGCAUCCAAAACUGGCAGACUUGAGUUCGAGAGGGGUAAGCGGAAUUCCGUGUGUAGCAGUGAAAUGCGUAGAUAUACGGAGGAACACCUGAGGCGAAGGCGGCUUACUGGACCGAUACUGACACUGAGGAUCGAAAGCGUGGGUAGCAAACAGGAUUAGAAACCCCAGUAGUCC